rnacentral:rRNA from 1 species
UACGGAGGGAGCUAGCGUUGCUCGGAAUCACUGGGCGUAAAGGGUGCGUAGGCGGCCGCGCAAGUCUGGCGUGAAAGCCCGGGCUCAGCCCGGGAAGGGCGCUCGAAACGGCGCGGCUCGAGUGCCGGAGGGGAGAGUGGAAUUCCCGUGUGAGUGGUGAAAUGCGUAGAUAUCGGGAGGAACACCAGUGGCGAAGGCGACUUCCUGGCCUGUUCUUGACGCUGAGGCGCGAAAGCUAGGGUAGCAAACGGG